GUUUUGAAGAAUUUGAGUAAUCAGUUGAAUAAAAACCUGAAAAGUGGUGAAUGAAAAUUUGAGAGAUAAGGAAAGGCUAGAGAUGGCAUUCAGGGGACACAAAUAGUUUGAAGACUCUGGUAGUAGAAUUAUGCAAGUUUUCUUAAAAUUAGGCAAUAUAUAAUAUUGAUACUAAGAAAUUCAGUACUUUUCCAUAGGAGGGGUCAGGUCUCAUUGCCUUUUCCCUACCCCAAAAUAUGAAAGGUGGUCUACAGUUUUGUCGUGGCAUUGUCACAGCAGUUGGCCCCAUGUUACAUUUCCUCUUGUGGCACCUCUGAGAGGUGUUUCUUCAUUACCUCUUGACAAGAGUAUAUUUUGAUUGACUGCUCUAUGUGCUUGUUUAUUUUUUAUAGCAUUUAAAUCAAACGGUAUUGAGAUGGAUUGGGUUAUGAAACAUAAUGGUCCAAAUGACGCUAGUGAUGGGACAGUACGACUUCGUGGACUACCAUUUGGUUGCAGCAAAGAGGAAAUAGUUCAGUUCUUUCAAGGUACCUCUAGUAUUAGUCAAAGUUUAGUAGUAUUGUAAUUUUAUAUUUGUAUUGUUGUACUGUUUUUAAUCUGUGAAACCCAUUUGAUUUUUGGAACUUUUAAGUUUAACUAUGAUAGUCUUGGUUAAUGUAUUAAAAUAAUAUGCUCCAGUUAAUAUUCAAUACAGAAUGUGUAGAAUAUGUAAAACCUAAUUAAUGUGCAGUAACAUAUUUGAGAAUUGUGAUGAAAUGAACCGUGAAUUAGUAUAUGGAGCAUAUAUUUGAUUUGUAGCCUUUUUUCAUGUAAUAUAGGUGGGCUUUUAGAGUGUGUGUAAUUACACAGUGUUUUUACACUGGUCGCAAAAAAUUUAUUUAAUCCAGUAAUAUUUGAAAAAAUCUUUCGUUUGUAUUAUGGGGUGAUGGGAAACUAAGCUUUUUUGUUUUGUUUUGUUUUGUUUUGUUUAGACUUGUUUUAAAUAUUUGAUUCAGAUGGGAAUGUUUCAGCCUUUAACACUGUUCCCCUUGAUGGGGUUAUUUGUCCUUGGGUUAAAGGGUUGGAAAUCGUGCCAAAUGGGAUAACAUUGACGAUGGACUACCAGGGGAGAAGCACAGGGGAGGCCUUCGUGCAGUUUGCUUCAAAGGAGAUAGCAGAAAAUGCUCUGGGGAAACACAAGGAAAGAAUAGGGCACAGGUGGGGAUGGAGAGUUUGGGAUGGUGUUAAAUUUUUAUUUUUGGGGGUUGUGGGUCACUAUUGCUUAAAUGGGGGGGUAGCCAUAACAUUUUUCUGGGGUAGUUUAAAAGAAUUGAUAAUUAUCUAAAUUUAACUUGGAAACUACAGAUUUGGGUGGGGAAUUAAUGCUAAUAGUUAAAUUAAAAUUAGAUUGUUUCCAUUUCUCUAUAGGAUGUUGUUGAUAAAUGCUUUUGUAUAAUCACCUAUUUCCUUUAAAACACCUAUUAUGUACUAAAAGAGACAAAGUAAAAAUAUAUUUAUACUUUAUGAAUUGUUUUCCGUGACUAAUUUCUUUGUAAAACUUAAAUAAUUAAGUUCUUAGGUUUAAACUGUUAACUUACGGUGUAUAUAGGCAAUUUAAAUUGGGUUAUGUAUCUAGAUAUAGAAAAACUUACUGCAUUUUGCCCAGUAUCUAAUUUACACUAAUACAUUUAUGCUGAAACCUGUACCUUAAAACGUUUUUAAAUAGGUAUAUUGAGAUCUUCAGAAGUAGCAGGAGUGAAAUCAAAGGAUUUUAUGAUCCACCAAGAAGAUUGCUGGGACAGCGACCGGGACCAUAUGAUAGACCAAUAGGAGGAAGAGGGGGUUAUUAUGGAGCUGGGCGUGGAAGUAUGUAUGACAGAAUGCGACGAGGAGGUGAUGGAUAUGAUGGUGGUUAUGGAGGUUUUGAUGACUAUGGUGGCUAUAAUAAUUACGGCUAUGGGAAUGAUGGCUUUGAUGACAGAAUGAGAGAUGGAAGAGGUAUGGGAGGCCAUGGCUAUGGUGGAGCUGGUGAUGCAAGUUCAGGUUUUCAUGGUGGUCAUUUUGUACAUAUGAGAGGGUUGCCUUUUCGUGCGACUGAAAAUGACAUUGCUAAUUUCUUCUCACCACUAAAUCCAAUACGAGUUCAUAUUGAUAUUGGAGCUGAUGGCAGAGCCACAGGAGAAGCAGAUGUAGAGUUUGUGACACAUGAAGAUGCAGUAGCUGCCAUGUCUAAAGAUAAAAAUAACAUGCAACAUCGAUAUAUUGAACUCUUCUUGAAUUCUACUCCUGGAGGCGGCUCUGGCAUGGGAGGUUCUGGAAUGGGAGGCUACGGAAGAGAUGGAAUGGAUAAUCAGGGAGGCUAUGGAUCAGUUGGAAGAAUGGGAAUGGGGAACAAUUACAGUGGAGGAUACGGUACUCCUGAUGGUUUGGGUGGUUAUGGUCGUGGUGGUGGAGGCAGUGGAGGUUACUACGGGCAAGGCGGCAUGAGUGGAGGUGGAUGGCGUGGGAUGUACUGAAAGCAAAAACACCAACAUACAAGUCUUGACAACAGCAUCUGGUCUACUAGACUUUCUUACAGAUUUCUUUUGUAUUUUAAGAACUUUAUAAUGACUGAAGGAAUGUGUUUUCAAAAUAUUAUUUGGUAAAGCAACAGAUUGUGAUGGGAAAAUCUGUUUUCUGUAGGUUUAUUUGUUGCAUACUUUGACUUAAAAAUAAAUUUUUAUAUUCAAA
rnacentral:sRNA from 1 species